GUUCACUGCCGUAUAGGCAGUUUAGAAA
rnacentral:other from 22 species